rnacentral:rRNA from 1 species
AGUGAACGCUGGCGGCAUGCCUAACACAUGCAAGUCGAGCGGCAGCGCGGGGGCAACCCUGGCGUCGAGCUGCGGACGGGUGAGGAAUUCGUCGGAAUCUGCCUUUUUUUUGGGGAUAACGUAGGUAAACUUACGCUAAUACCGCAUACGUCCUACUGUAGAAACUGGGGGAUCGCAAGUCCUCACGCAGAAAGAUGAGCCGACGACCGAUUAGCUAGUUGGUGGGGUAAAGGCGCACCAAGGCGACGAUCGGUAGCUGGUCUGAGAGGAUGAUCAGCCACACUGGAACUGAGACACGGCCCAGACUCCUACGGGAGGCAGCAGUGGGGAAUAUUGGACAAUGGGCGAAAGCCUGAUCCAGCCACGCCGCGUGUGUGAAGAAGGCCUUCGGGUUGUAAAGCACUUUUGUCAGGAAAGAAAUACCUUGAGCUAAUACAUUCGGGGGAUGACGGUACCGGAAGAAAAAGCACCGGCUAUCUUCGUG